GCAAGACAAGUUGAUGCUGCAAAGAAUCAGGUCUUACAUUGUAAGAGGGCAUUACCUUGAUUAACAAGUGGAGUGGAUCGUUUCUGUUAUCUGUACAUUCCUAUUUAUUUUAUCUACACGUCUAUGAAGUGGCUUUCUUUAUAUGGUUGAAAUCUGGGGCCCGUCUUUCUGAAAAUCUUGCUAACUAUAUUCCUAUUUUUACUUUUUUGUAACUAUGCUGAGACUUGAGAACCCUUGAAAUUCGUUUCUUCUUUAAGUGAUAAUCUUUUUAGUUUUCAUCCGUUUGACAGAGUUAGGAUUGCUGAAUACGUCAUAAUAUUUGGAAUAAAAGUUGAAGGAACACACAGAAUUGUAGUUUGCAAUGCAAACCCUAGCAAAACUAUACAUGUACCUCUCCCACUCACUCUUUUUCUUCUUGCAGAAGUGUGCUCAUUUUAUUUAUAGAACUUGUUCUAUGUGGCAGGCCUUUCUAAAAGCAAGGCUUGAAGAGCAUUCUCAGCGGCAGGGGCAUCUUAAUCACUACAUCUUUACUGACUCAGACAUGGCAGUAGUAGUUGAUGACCUAGGGCAGAUAUU
rnacentral:lncRNA from 1 species